UACGAAGGGGGCUAGCGUUGCUCGGAAUCACUGGGCGUAAAGCGCACGUAGGCGGAUUCUUAAGUCGGUGGUGAAAUCCUGGAGCUCAACUCCAGAACUGCCUUCGAUACUGAGAGUCUUGAGUUCGGGAGAGGUGAGUGGAACUGCGAGUGUAGAGGUGAAAUUCGUAGAUAUUCGCAAGAACACCAGUGGCGAAGGCGGCUCACUGGCCCGAUACUGACGCUGAGGAGCGAAAGCUAGGGGAGCAAACGGG
rnacentral:rRNA from 1 species